rfam:Monodelphis domestica chromosome 4, whole genome shotgun sequence.
UAGAAUGUAGUAUAAAGGAAACACAUAGAAUUUUGAAUUCUUAGAUGUAGGUUCAAUUCCUAUUGUUCUAG